UACGUAGGGUGCAAGCGUUGUCCGGAAUUAUUGGGCGUAAAGAGCUCGUAGGCGGCUUGUCGCGUCGGCUGUGAAAACCUGGGGCUCAACCCCGGGCCUGCAGCCGAUACGGGCAAGCUAGAAUUCGGUAGGGGAGACUGGAAUUCCCGGUGUAGCGGUGAAAUGCGCAGAUAUCGGGAAGAACACCCGUGGCGAAGGCGGUUCUCUGGGACGGUACUGACGCUGAGACGCGAAAGCGUGGGGAGCGAACAGG
rnacentral:rRNA from 1 species